rnacentral:misc_RNA from 1 species
CCGAGUUUUAGGGUCUGCGUUGUCCGAGUCAUCGGCGCGCGCCCGAAUCUCCCAACCCUUUGUUUAAUUGACCUACGUUGCUUCGGCGGACCGUGUCCUCCCUUUUCACGAAGGGAGGGCCGCCGGAUGGCCCCCUUUACCGGGGGACGUCUGGAGAGUCUUGUCCGCCGAUGGCCAACCACAAAUUAAAACUCUUGUACCUAAACGUGUCGUCUGAACAAAAACUAUUUUUGAUUGCAUAAUCAUAAAACA